rnacentral:rRNA from 1 species
GACGAACGCUGGCGGCGUGCCUAAUACAUGCAAGUCGAACGCACAGUUUAUACCGUAGCUUGCUACACCAUAGACUGUGAGAUGCGAACGGGUGAGUAACGCGUAGGUAACCUGCCUGGUAGCGGGGGAUAACUAUUGGGGACGAUAGCUAAUACCGCAUAAUAUUAAUUAUUGCAUGAUAAUUAAUUGAAAGGUGCAAUUGCACCACUACCAGAUGGACCUGCGGUGUAUUAGCUAGUAGGUGAGGUAACGGCUCACCUAGGCGACGAUGCAUAGCCGACCUGAGAGGAUGAUCGGCCACACUGGGACUGAAACACGGCCCAGACUCCUACGGGAGGCAGCAGUAGGGAAUCUUCGGCAAUGGACGAAAGUCUGACCGAGCAACGCCGCGUGAGUGAAGAAGGGUUUCGGGUCGUAAAGCUCUGUUGUAAGAGAAGAACGGGUGUAAAAGUGGAAAGUUCACACUGUGACGGUAUCUUAACAGAAAGGGACGGCUAACUACGUG